rnacentral:rRNA from 1 species
UACGGAAUGUGCAAACGUUAUUCGGAAUCACUGGGCUUAAAGAGUCCGUAGGCGGCAUGUUAGGUGAGGUGUGAAAUCCCCCGGCUCAACCGAGGAAUUGCGCUUCAAACCGGCGUGCUAGAGGAAGAUAGAGGUGGGCGGAACUGAUGGUGGAGCGGUGAAAUGCGUUGAUAUCAUCAGGAACACCGGAGGCGAAAGCGGCCCACUGGGUCUUAUCUGACGCUGAGGGACGAAAGCUAGGGGAGCGAACGGG